UGAAAGUAGGGCAGAGAGAGCUUUGCCAGAAACCCGCCCCGUCUAGGGCGCCGCCCCAUCUAGGGCGUGUGAUGGGCCGGAAAGGCAUCAGGCUGGGUCUGCAGCCAACUCCAGCUGCACUGCCUUCUCCAAAGCCCCGUCUCUCUCUGGGAAUCAGGGACAAAGCCGCGCUGUGACCUCAGAGCAAGCCGCACCCCAUUUUCUCGGCGACACGACCUUGGAAAUGGGAACAUCGCACAAAAGAUCUCAUUUCUCAGUCAACAGAUGGUCGGGGUGCUUCUGGCUACAGUGACAAAAGCUAAUCUCAAACCAAAGGAUUAUGAGCCACAACAGAGACUCACCUGUAACAGACAGCCCCAAGCAAAACCAGACCCUGCUGGCGGCCAGCCCUGCCUGGCCCCUCACGAGCACCUACCCGGCCUGUUUCCCUACGUCGAUCGGACACACGCUACAUGGGGCUGCCAGCGGCCAAGACACUGCAGAGGCAGUUGCCUCACUACAGCCGCGGGGGACAACAGGCCUGCCACUCACCUGCCUUCCGCUCCGAGGGCCCAGCAUCCCGAGAUUCUGAUGCCAGGGUCCUCAGCCUCCUUUCCAGCUUUUCUCCUGGCUUCUAACAACACGGAGGCUCAGGGAAGAGAAGAUUCCAGAUGGGGCUCACGCACCUGAAGAGGGGCCGCUCCUGGCCGCCCAGGUAACAAGGGUGUGUCUGCCUCCCUGUCCAGAGGCACUUGGAGGCAGAACUGAACUGUCCAACUUUGCCCACAAGCGCUUCCCCCUCCUGCUCCCUGGCCUGGACAAGCGGGCAGGGCUGGCCCACACUUGGGAGGCUGGAGCUGUCCUGGACAGGGCUGCAGAGUUGGGGCAUGCAGCACCAGGGCCUUCACUGGUGCCUGACACUCUGUCCAGGUUUAGGAAGUUUGCUGGAUGAGUCAAAUGAGGCUGGAUGGAGGAGGGAGGAGCCAGGCCCCGUGGACCCCAGACUGCUCAGAGACAGAGGUGUCAGGGGAGUAUUCUCAGGGCAGGUGGAACACUGGGGGGCUGCAGCCUUAAAGGAGCCAAAAACAGGCUCCAGAGACUUGCACAGCCCCUACCCCAUUACCCUGGAAACCUCCCUGCAGAAGUCCCUUGUUCCUGCUGCUCUGGGCGGGUCCAGCCAGCCUCCCUCCAUUCCCAUAGCUGCAAACCCACCUCCACCAGGACCGCACCAGGAGACAGCCCCAGGGGUUCACUGUUAUCACCACCAUUCUCAUUUACCCAUCAGCAUGUCCAGUGCUAAGGGAGUUGGAGUCUCUGUCCUCACGGAGCUAACCCUCUAGAGGGGCAAGCAGACAAAACACAAGGGCAAAGUGGACAAACCAUACCAAUGCGUCCGCAAGGAUGUGGAAGAAGCUGGAAGGGUGGUCAGGGAGAGCCUUAGCUCAGGGGCACUGGCACAUACACCUAAAAUGCCAACCAGACCCAGCUCCGGGGCCCUUGGGGGGUGUGCAGGGACUGUGGGGGCAGCACAGAGGAACAGCCCUCAGGACACCAGCCAGCAUCAAGGGACAACCGUGAAGUCCAGAGGCAGUUCCAGCGUAGACCCCAUGGGCCUCUGGAGAAAGCGUGCUGGAGUCUCCACUUACGGCUCCCAGGUCCUGGCUCUCUUCCGACGACCUAUGCUUCCCUGGACAUCAUGGGGGGGCACCCAAGCCCACUACAUGAUUCUGCACGCAGGAUGGGGCCCUGACUGCAGCUGCCACCUAUCUGUGUCCUCAGGGAGUGCUUUUCUCAAGGGCCUACCUAGCUUUAUCCUCUCUGAUCUUGGGCUACCUCAAAGAUUCUUUGGAACAAGCAGGUGUCACAGACUCAAGUCCUACAAGACUCACCCUGUGCCAGGCAUAUAGUCACUUUUUGCUGGGAAGGUGUGAGAUGGGAAGGACACACAAUGCUCCUCAGGGCCUGCACAGGCUCCUGCGAUCUGGCGGCUCCUGAAGGAGAGCUGUCAUCGCAGGGCAGCCUCGCCUCAUCCCUUACCCCCCCCCCCCCCCGCCCCUCUCCUCCCUCCAAGAAAGAGGUUGCCCUGGCACCCAGACCAUUCUGGAGGAAUCCAGGCACACAGCAUUUCUGCCUUGGAGAGAUCACCCAAGUCCCGAGAUGAGAUGCCCGGGCUGGAACCGUGGUUUCCUUGGACCCCCACAACCUGCGGCCCUCGCAGAGCCUUCCUGAAGCGACAGUUUAGACCCGGAAGUGCAGGGGGUCGCUCCGGAUCGCGGCUCAGCCACCGCCCCCUGGUGGGCCUGGCCCCAGGAGCUCAGUAGGAGCCCAUUUCCUCUUGGCCUCUUCCAUCUCCCCAGUCAGGGUGACAAAAUGGCCCUGCCCCCGCUCUACCCUUCCAACUUCAACUCUUGCAAAGCCUCCCCAGAGCCUGGCGGCUCGGCACAACAGGUGGGGCAGGCGGAAGGCAGCAGGCACGAUCUACCCUAGACUCACGAACCCUGGCCUCUUAGGUGGAGCAGAGCCUGAGUCCCGGCGGAUUCCAGAACACACUGACCACCUCAGAUGCUCCAGCCCAGGGGCCCUCCCCGUCCCCUCGGGACAGACAACAAAGUCCACGCCAGCUACGUGCAGAAUCCGCUUUAUCCGCAGAACCUCGGAGUGGGCGCCCGGCAGGCCCUGCCCAUGAACCCGGUGCCGCCGGCCAUCGAGGAGCGGCGGGGCGGACACGGUCUCACCUCCGGGCUCAGCGCCGCCGGCCCCGCCAGGCCCGGAGGAACCUCCCACCGCGGCCGGGCCCCCCCCCGCGUGUCCAGACCCAGCCCGUCGAGGUCGCCCUGCCCGCAGGCGGACGCCCCACCGCACCGCGGACUCCGGCUCACACGGCGGACGCGAGAGGGGCGUGCGCGGCCCCCAGCCCGUGCUCGGCGGGGCGCGCCUACCGGUCCUCGCACGAGGCCUCGCUCCUCUCCGCCGGCCGGUCGGGCCCGUCUCCCGCCGCAGCGGGCGGCGGAGGCAAGCGGGGCGCGUCAGCAGAGGCUGAGGGCGCCGCCAUGGAACUCUGAGGCCUCUCCGCGGGCCGCGUCUCCGGGGCUGGCCGCCGGGAGUCGUAGUUCGGGGCUUUGCGCCGCACGCUCGCUGGCGCGCCGUGCGGACUACAAGUCCCACAAGGCCGUGCGGCUGUGCGUGCCGGGACUCGUAGUCCGGCCUCACCCGCUGGGAGCGGGCGGACGGGCGUCGUCUGCGGGGAAAGAUCCCACCCCGAGCUUUACCACAAACUCAGCAGCACAAAGCCCCUGGAAAAAAAUCAAUAAACAUUUAUUUGAUACAGUCA